rnacentral:lncRNA from 1 species
ACCCUGGUGACUAUGAGAGAUCUCCUCGGCCCAGUGUCCAUUUGGUUGUUACACACUGACUUCGUAUUGGAACUCCCCAGACCUGUGAUGCUCAACAUGGUCUUCAGUGGUGGGGUCAACUGCCUCCAGGGGAAGCCACUUUCCAAGGAAUUUGAAGCCUAUGUCAACGCCUCCGGAGAACAUGGCAUCGUGGUUUUCUCUUUGGGAUCCAUGGUCUCAGAGAUUCCAGAGAAGAAAGCGAUGGAAAUUGCUGAGGCUUUGGGCA